rnacentral:rRNA from 1 species
CCUACGGGAGGCAGCAGUGGGGAAUAUUGGCAAUGGACGCCAGUCUGACCCAGCAACGCCGCGUGAAGGGAGGAGGCUUUCGGGUUGUAAACUUCUUUUAAGGGGGAAGAGCAGAAGACGGUACCCCUUUGAUAAGCCACCGCUAACUACGUUCCAGCAGCCGCGGUAAUACGUAGGUGGCAAGCGUUGUCCGGAGUUACUGGGGGGAAAGGGCGUGCAGCCGGGAAGACAAGUCAGAUGUGAAAUCCCGCGGCUCAACCGCGGAACUGCAUUUGAAACUGGUUUUCUUGAGUAUCGGAGAGGUAAUCGGAAUUCCUAGUGUAGCGGUGAAAUGCGUAGAUAUUAGGAAGAACACCAGUGGCGAAGGCGGAUUACUGGACGACAACUGACGGUGAGGCGCGAAAGCGUGGGGAGCAAACAGGAUUAGAUACCCGAGUAGUC